UACGUAGGGACCAAGCGUUGUUCGGAUUUACUGGGCGUAAAGGGCGCGUAGGCGGCGUGGUAAGUCAGCUGUGAAAUCUCCGAGCUUAACUCGGAACGGUCAGCUGAUACUGCUGUGCUAGAGUGCAGAAGGGGCAACUGGAAUUCUCGGUGUAGCGGUGAAAUGCGUAGAUAUCGAGAGGAACACCUGCGGCGAAGGCGGGUUGCUGGGCUGACACUGACGCUGAGGCGCGAAAGCUAGGGGAGCGAACGGG
rnacentral:rRNA from 1 species